UCACAUCAAAAGGGAGUGAGCCUUCCUGGGGCCAACAUCUACAUUGUCCAGAUUUCAGCUGGAAGAGGGUAUCCAAAUUCAUUUAGUUUUAGUCCCCUUAAAACAGAACAAAAAGAAAACUGGUUCUGUGAAAAAUGCUGUCCACUCAGUAGCUUUUACUGUAUGCUAAUCUCUCUUCUUAUUUUCCCAAAUCAACCCCUGCUUGUGCAACCUGCUCUGAGAGUUUGCAAAGAACCAUCAGUCUUUAGGACCCUGAACCUAUUUCAGCUCUAGGCAUCUUGGCUGCUGCAGUUUUCAGCUUGCAAAGGCUCCCCUGCUACAACACAAUCACCAAGUCAAAGUGCAAAAUUCAAUUAUUAUUUUUUUUUUGGAGCAGUGUGAUUUAAAUCAAUGUUACUGACAUCAUUAAGCAGGAGAAUCACAUGUGUACGCUUGUGAUUCUUGUUGUUAUUCUUGUCUUGAGUAAAAUCCAUGCAUUUGGCCCAAUUUUUGUAGGUAUCCUUAAUUUUAGUAUUUAAGUCAGAGCAAAGAUUAUGAAAACCAAUGCAAUGUCAGGCUUGGUGAUAAUUAAGCUACCUGUAGUGCUCGCUUCGGCAGCACAUAUACUAAAAUUGGAACGAUACAGAUAAGAUAAGCUACCUGUAAUUCCAUCUACCUGGGAGGCUGAGGCAAGAAGAUAACAAGUUUGAGCUUCGUAUGGGCAAUUUAGUGAGACCCUGUCUCAAAAUGAAAUGUUUUAAA
rnacentral:lncRNA from 1 species